rnacentral:misc_RNA from 1 species
UUAAGUUCAGCGGGUAUCCCUACCUGAUCCGAGGUCAACCAGUAAAAAUUUGGGUUAUGGCAAGCAACCGCGAGACCCUGUAGCGAGGAGUAUUACUACGCUGAGAGCCGAACGGCACCGCCACUGUGUUUAGAGGCCGCUGGAAGGCGAACCCCAAUACCAAGCCAGGCUUGAUCGGUCAACUGACGCUCGAACAGGCA